ensembl:scaRNA
GCGUCCUGACCUUGGCCUGGCUGUUCCCCUCACCAGAACUGUGGUGCUGGGGUCUGGGGGUGGACGCAGAUCAACUUACUCUCGUGUUAGGAGGGCUGCCAAAGACAUGUGCGAGCCCUUAAAGGCAAGAGAGGACACU